rnacentral:rRNA from 1 species
GACGAACGCUGGCGGCGUGCUUAACACAUGCAAGUCGUACGGUAAGGCCCUUUCGGGGGUACACGAGUGGCGAACGGGUGAGUAACACGUGAGUAACCUGCCCACAACUUUGGGAUAACGCUAGGAAACUGGUGCUAAUACUGGAUAUGUGCUCCUGCUGCAUGGUGGGGGUUGGAAAGCUCCGGCGGUUGUGGAUGGACUCGCGGCCUAUCAGCUUGUUGGUGGGGUAGUGGCCUACCAAGGCGGCGACGGGUAGCCGGCCUGAGAGGGUGACCGGCCACAUUGGGACUGAGAUACGGCCCAGACUCCUACGGUAGGCAGCAGUGGGGAAUAUUGCACAAUGGGCGCAAGCCUGAUGCAGCAACGCCGCGUGCGGGAUGACGGCCUUCGGGUUGUAAACCGCUUUCAGCAGGGACGAAGCUUUUUGUGACGGUACCUGCAGAAGAAGCACCGGCUAACUACGUG